ACCAGUUGCCCUCGUGAUAGGUUCCGUCUGCAAUCUGGUAAUAUAUCAGCGAAUAAAGUAUAAUCAAGUGCGAUAAGGAAAAAGUUGAAUCUCGUCUCCCUCUUUUACAUUCCUUCUGUAUAAUAAAUCUCAAUCACGCCUACACAAAUUAUUACUGCUCAUAAUAUAUAAUCCCUGAAUCUCGCACUUCCUUCCAUAUCGUUGGUCGCUAGAACCUUCUAUUCCGAAUUCUCCCUUUCUUUCUUUGAUGGCUUCACCGUCUCAAGCUAGCCUCCUCCUUCAAAAGCAGCUUAAAGAUCUGUGUAAACACCCAGUAGAUGGAUUUUCAGCGGGUUUGCUGGAUGAAGAGAACCUGUUUGAAUGGAGCGUGACAAUUAUUGGGCCCCCUGACACACUAUAGUGAGCGUCUUUACUUAAACUCUUACUCAAAUAAUGGAUUACAGGAAGUUAUCUCGUUUCACAUACAUAUGUAUCCAUUGAUGCAUUAAAUGUAAAACUCAAUUGUAUGGUGAUUUUGGUUUGGUUUGGUUUGGCUUGAGAGGGUUGUUUGUUUGAAAUUCCUAUGAUCGGUAGAUUUGGGUUUCGUGUCAAACACAAGAAAUCAGGUACAGUUUUCGUCCAUCCAAUGCGAAUUUAUUAAAUAAUGAAUGCAUCAAAAAUAGUUUCGUGUGCAAGUAUUUGGACUUUUUCUAGAGAUUAAUUACCUAUUCUAGUUCAAGACUCCGAACGCAUAGGUACUAAAUCUUUAAAACUAAUCCGCAUUGCACAAGUUCAAUCAAGGGCGGAUUACUUAAUGGCCUGUUUGAGUUUAAAACAAAUGGGCUUGAGGCCUGUUAAAAUUGCUUUGUUUCUGAAGAAUAGCUUAUUAAUUAGAAUUAGCUUGAGCCUCGAGGCAUGCUAAAAUCUUCAACUAGUUAAUUUAUCCACUGCUAUGCCAGGGACAUUAUUGCUUUCCAAAGGCAUUCAUGUACAAUAUAACGACACAAAAUCGUUAAGAUUUCAUGUGUUGAAAAGACAUUUGAGCAGUUGAGCACAAUUUAAAUCUCAAAAUUGAACCAAAAAAAAAAAAAA